rnacentral:rRNA from 1 species
AGAGUUUGAUCCUUUCUCAGGAUGAACGCUAGCUACAGGCUUAACACAUGCAAGUCGAGGGGCAGCAUGGUCUUAGCUUGCUAAGGCCGAUGGCGACCGGCGCACGGGUGAGUAACACGUAUCCAACCUGCCGUCUACUCUUGGACAGCCUUCUGAAAGGAAGAUUAAUACAAGAUGGCAUCAUGAGUCCGCAUGUUCACAUGAUUAAAGGUAUUCCGGUAGACGAUGGGGAUGCGUUCCAUUAGAUAGUAGGCGGGGUAACGGCCCACCUAGUCUUCGAUGGAUAGGGGUUCUGAGAGGAAGGUCCCCCACAUUGGAACUGAGACACGGUCCAAACUCCUACGGGAGGCAGCAGUGAGGAAUAUUGGUCAAUGGGCGAGAGUCUGAACCAGCCAAGUAGCGUGAAGGAUGACUGCCCUAUGGGUUGUAAACUUCUUUUAUAAAGGAAUAAAGUCGGGUAUGCAUACCCGUUUGCAUGUACUUUAUGAAUAAGGAUCGGCUAACUCCGUGCCAGCAGCCGCGGUAAUACGGAGGAUCCGAGCGUUAUCCGGAUUUAUUGGGUUUAAAGGGAGCGUAGAUGGAUGUUUAAGUCAGUUGUGAAAGUUUGCGGCUCAACCGUAAAAUUGCAGUUGAUACUGGGUAUCUUGAGUGCAGUUGAGGCAGGCGGAAUUCGUGGUGUAGCGGUGAAAUGCUUAGAUAUCACGAAGAACUCCGAUUGCGAAGGCAGCCUGCUAAGUUGCAACUGACAUUGAGGCUCGAAAGUGUGGGUAUCAAACAGGAUUAGAUACCCUGGUAGUCCACACGGUAAACGAUGAAUACUCGCUGUUUGCGAUAUACAGCAAGCGGCCAAGCGAAAGCGUUAAGUAUUCCACCUGGGGAGUACGCCGGCAACGGUGAAACUCAAAGGAAUUGACGGGGGCCCGCACAAGCGGAGGAACAUGUGGUUUAAUUCGAUGAUACGCGAGGAACCUUACCCGGGCUUAAAUUGCAGAUGAAUUACGGUGAAAGCCGUAAGCCGCAAGGCAUCUGUGAAGGUGCUGCAUGGUUGUCGUCAGCUCGUGCCGUGAGGUGUCGGCUUAAGUACCAUAACGAGCGCAACCCUUGUUGUCAGUUACUAACAGGUUCUGCUGAGGACUCUGACAAGACUGCCAUCGUAAGAUGUGAGGAAGGUGGGGAUGACGUCAAAUCAGCACGGCCCUUACGUCCGGGGCUACACACGUGUUACAAUGGCAUGUACAGAAAGCUGGCCGUAUGCAAAUACGGUCGAAUCCCUAAAACAUGUCUCAGUUCGGACUGGGGUCUGCAACCCGACCCCACGAAGCUGGAUUCGCUAGUAAUCGCGCAUCAGCCAUGGCGCGGUGAAAACGUUCCCGGGCCUUGCACACACCGCCCGUCA